UACAGAGGUCUCAAGCGUUGUUCGGAUUUAUUGGGCGUAAAGAGCGUGUAGGCGGCCGUGUAGGUCCGUUGUGAAAACUCGAGGCUCAACCUCGAGACGUCGAUGGAAACCACACGGCUAGAGUCCGGAAGAGGAGAGUGGAAUUCCUGGUGUAGCGGUGAAAUGCGCAGAUAUCAGGAAGAACACCUAUGGCGAAGGCAGCUCUCUGGGACGGUACUGACGCUGAGACGCGAAAGCGUGGGGAGCGAACAGG
rnacentral:rRNA from 1 species